rnacentral:rRNA from 1 species
AUAUCAUUCAGCGGAGGAAAGGAAACCAACAGGGAUUGCCUCAGUAACGGCGAGUGAAGCGGCAAGAGCUCAGAUUUGAAAUCGGCCACCCGGCUGAGUUGUAAUCUGUAGAGGAAUGUUCGGCGGAAGUGUUGGCUAAAGUCUUCUGGAAGGGAGCGCCGUAGAGGGUGAGAGCCCCGUUUAGCCAGCGUCUGAUGCCAUGUGUACCUCCUUCGAAGAGUCGAGUUGUUUGGGAAUGCAGCUCAAAAUGGGUGGUAAAUUCCAUCUAAAGCUAAAUAUAAGCCAAAGAUCGAUAGCGCACAAGUAGAGUGAUCGAAAGAUGAAAAGCACUUUGGAAAGAGAGUGAAACAGUAC